UACAACCCCCGAAUCCAUUAGUUCUUUGCCCCUCAGGAAACCUAAUAGACGUCCCUAAUAAUCAAACGGAAGAGUGAAUGUGUUCCGUCUCUUCACCUUCAUCAUCCUUGCCGUUUUCCCUCCUCUCCCUUUAUCGCCAUCAUUUGUGAAUGUCAAGCACACAAAACGUCCAAUUUCAUUCGGUACGCCAUGAAUCUAAUCAUUGAAACUCCCAUGAUUGCUAUAUCAAUAAAGGAAAUUCACCACCGAAUGCUAGAAUCAUUCGUUCAGGGUUACAGUCAUGGCCUCCAAGACACUCUUAAUAGGUCCAUGGCCAUCUCUACCCGAUAUUUUACAAGCAUUUUGAAGCGAAGCAGAUUCACCACUUCAAUCCAGUGGACUCUCAAUUUGCCAAGAAAGGCAAUUAACAAAGGGAUUGGUAUAGAUAAUAUGCAUUACUUUGACGAUGGCCUCUAGACAUAUAAAACUAUAAUGGAAGUUUAAAGAUAAUGAUGUUCCUCAAUGUGCAUAAUGAAACUCUCGGUAUCUAUUUUGAUGAAAAAUAGUGGGGCGAUGAUGAGAAGGUUUUUGUGCGUGAUGAUGAGAAUUUGAACGAAAAGUAUGAGAAUGAGGUUUCAGAUGUUGAUGGUGGUUAUAAAAUUGGUGCUUAUAAGAAUAAUGAUGGACAAAGGAGGAGGGAGGAUGUAAAUUAUAGGGAUUACGGGAGUGAAAUGUUGGUGGAUCAGUGACUGUUGCAAAGGAUGUUAAAAGUUAUCAUUAUCCACUGAGACCUGAUGCUGAGAUUGUUCAUACUACAUAUACUACAUGAGGACCGGGAUAUGUAAAUAUGGAUCAAGCAGCAAGUUUAAUUAUCCUCUAAGAACUACCAUCAUCAAAUAUUAUCAACCCUAAGCUCUAAGCUCUGGUCUGCUGGUUGGUGCGCUUUUUUGCUACUCGCUUGCCGCCGGUUUGAACCUCACAUCACCCUUCUGGCCGGUUUAUUGCUUUUGUUAUUACAUGUUAUUGAAUUUUGAACCUAUAAUUGAAGAGACUUGAUCUACUACAGAGACUUGUAAACUUAUAUGCUUUUGUUAUAUGGAAGAAUAAUAAUUGUAAUUGUAAAUCCCUAUAUUACAGAGUAGGUGAUCUUUGAGCUUUCCUGCCAAUCCGUCAUUCGUUGCUGGUGACGGUAAGGGUUCUGCAUAUAUACACAUACUAAAUUACAUUUUACGUUAUAUGUAUAUACACACUCUUCAGUCUUAAGAGAUUAGGUUUUCACAGGCGUCAAACGCAAACAAGUUUCUUCUCCGGCAGCCUGACCACAAGAUAUGUUGUUUGUUCCUAGCUUUUGUUGUAUGCAUGGUAAUGUCUUUUUUUAGAUAGAAAGCAAGUUUUGUCAUUUCAGGUGCUGGUUAGCAAGCAAUAUGACCGAGGUUUGCUUUGUUUUAGCUCAACUCUAUCCGGUGUUGGUUGUCUUUAUGUGAAGUAAACAUUCUGACCCAACACAGUAUUUAUUACCAUUUUCAUUAGAUUGUGCAUGUUUGGGUUUUCGGUGCGAUUACAGAUUGUAACUGUUCUAGAUUUUGCAAAACCAGAGGGUUGCCAUCUAGUCCAUACACUCCACAAAUGGCUGUGUAAUACUCUCUUCGCCCACUUGUUUGAUGACCAUGAACGCAAAGCUGUCAUAUCUCAUAAAGAGCGUAGAGGUUCAUGAAUGCAAGUGGGUUUGCUGUUGUUGCAAGUGUUGUGUUGCUAGGAGUGAUGCAGGUUUUGUUGCAAUUGCUACAUCAUUUGUAGAUAGCUUUUGUUUAGAAGUUUUGUAGCUUUAGUACUCCAAUUGAGAACUUAUGUAUGAAUUUUGGUAUGUUAUUGUUAAUAUCAUUUGGGUUUUGAGUUUUUUCA